UGGUUCGGUCUGUACGAACAAGUGUGGCCUUUCGAACCUUGACGUCAACCUAAACCCAAUCAAAUUCAAUACGAACAACACGACAGACAACGAUCGUGUGCCAAAACUCUGUUUCUCUCUAAUUUUCGAAUCCAAUGGACCUGAAUCGCAAACACAAGGUGUCCCUUAGAGGCGCCAGCAGUGGGGAGAUAUCACGGGAUGCUUUGCUUGCUAAAGUUUCACAAGAGAGGGAGCUCCGUAGUUACGCAAGACGGGCCAAUGCUGCAUCACUUCUUAUUCAGAGAGUUUGGAGGUCUUAUAUUGUGAGAAAGAAGGCAGCUAUAGAGAUCCAAGAGGAGUGGGAGAUUUUACUCAGUUCCCGGUCUGAUACACUCACUAAAAGUUGGGUAUCAAGCAGUGUCUUGAGACCGUUUCUCUUCUUUAUCAGAGCUUUGUCUGUCCAACAUCAAAAGAUAAAUGCAAGAGAUAUUCACUGCAUGCAAACUUGCUUUAAGAUUCUUUUGGAAAGCAUCAACUCUAAUGAUCAGGGGUUCAAUUUUUGCUCACUAGCAGUUGGUACAAUUGAAGAAAGUAAAACAUGGGCCUGCCAAACACGAAAGAUGGUUUCUCUCUGCUCCUUCCUACUCAUAGAGUGUAAUUAUUCACAGGAGAGGAUAAGAGAUGUUAUUGGUGUCAGUGCCCUUCUAUUACGUAUCCUUAUCGUUUUAACUGAUCCCAAAAGCUGGAAGGUCAUUACAAAGGAUAACUUUGAAGAUGCAGAAACAGCUGGAAAGAUGAUGAUUCAGUUUAUAGGGAGCUGUAAAAGUGGAUAUUACUCAGCUGUUAGGAGAUAUAUCAAGACAUUAACCAAGCAUACAGAUGAGAGACUGUUGAUUACUACAAGUGCAGUAACUUUGGCCCUACGGCCAUUCCAGGUGAGACAGCCUGCUUUUGUUGAUGAGAAUCAACUGGACACGAAUUUGGCUGUUGAAGAAUACGUUUCUCUAAUUUUGACGAUUCCUCAACUCGUUUGCUGCCUGCCAAGUGCUCUCAUACGUGCACUGAAGCACAGGAGUAUACUAAUGCCAUGCUUUCACACUAUAUUGCAGAUUUUGAAGGACAAAAUCUUGACUAGGAUAUCAGAAAUGGAGCAUUUAGAGAAUCAAAGUUGUACCAUGGAGAUUCCUUCUGUUGGUUGGGCUAUCGGGAACAUCAUAUCCCUGGCAACCGUUAGUGAAACCGAUUUUAUGGAUCCACAAGAAUCAAAUCCAGAGUUGUUUUAUGUCUUGUAUGUUCGUGUUAUUGUGACUCUGUCCGAGAACCUCUUGUCUCAGGUUGAAAAGGUUGGAAUUCGAGAUACUCAUCUUGAUACUGAGGCCACAUCGAAGACUGGAAAAGGAGAAAAUUCAGUUAAGAUUUCUUUUGUGGAAUUGCUUCGGCCAGUUUGCCAACAGUGGCAUCUCGCAAAACUUUUGGCAGUUUCUGGGAAAGAAAUUCGUGUUAUAGCAGAUAAAGAUGCUUCGACGAGUAGUAAGAAAGCAUCAGAAGCACUAGGAUUGCUUGAUAUAGCACGAUUAUAUUCGUGCAUGUUGAGAAUCUUCUGCGUGCUUAAUCCUGUUGUAGGGCCUUUGCCUGUCCUUAACAUGAUAUCCUUCUGUCCUGGAUAUAUUGUCUCUUUGUGGAAUUCUCUAGAUAGUGUCCUACUACCUAAAAAUGGUUGCACUGCUGACGACUUAUCUCAUGGAUCUGUUAAAAGUUCAUGGAAUACAAGAAGUCCAUCUGAGAAGAAGUUGAAACAUCUUAAGAAUGAUGGUGUCAACAGGUGGGUGAACGUGCUAAACAAGUUUUCUGGUAAAUCACCAGGACCGCGUGAACAUGUGGAGUGUACUAGUGAUCAACCAGAAUCAAGCCAGGUUAAUGAGUCAACUGAUGAUGUAUGGGAUGUAGAAACUCUGAGGGGUGGUCCUGUAGGUAUCUCCAAAGACGUGUCAUGCCUGCUUCAUCUCUUUUGUGCAACUUAUGCCCAUUUACUCGUUGUUCUUGAUGACAUACAGUUUUAUGAAAAGCAGGUCCCCUUUAUGCUAGAGAAACAACGGAGAAUUGCAUCAAUGCUUAAUACACUCGUGUACAAUGGAUUGUUGCGAGGCACUGGUCCUGAAAAUAGACAACUGAUGGAUUCUGCUAUCAGAUGUUUGCAUUUAUUGUACGAAAGAGAUUGCAGGCACCCUUUUUGUCCUUCUGCCCUGUGGCUCUCACCUGGUAAAACUAGUAGACCUCCAAUUGCAUUUGCUGCCAGAACUCAUGAGGUUUUACCAGCCAGUGAUGUUGUUACGUCUCCAAGCAUGGGUUCUGUUAUAACAAUUACUCCGCAUGUUUUUCCAUUUGAGGAAAGGGUCCAUGUGUUUAGAGAAUUUAUAAGCAUAGAUAAAGCUUCAAGGAAAAUGGCUGGUGAAGUGGAUGCACCUGGUGCGAGGUCAAUAGAGAUAGUUGUUCGUCGAGGUCAUGUGGUUGAAGAUGGAUUUCGACAACUGAAUUCUAUUGGCAGCAGGCUAAAAUCAUCCAUUCAUGUAUCGUUUGUGAAUGAGUCUGGCCUUCCUGAGGCAGGCCUAGACUAUGGUGGGCUUUCAAAAGAGUUUCUGACUGACAUAACAAAAGCAGCUUUUGCUACAGAGUAUGGUUUGUUCUCGCAAACCCCUACUUCAGAUAGGUUGCUUGUUCCUAGCCCAUCUGCACGACACCUUGAGAACGGGGUUCAGAUGAUUGAGUUUCUUGGAAGAAUUGUUGGAAAGGCUCUAUACGAGGGAAUACUGCUGGAUUACUCUUUUUCACAUGUUUUCAUCCAGAAGCUUUUGGGACGUUAUAGCUUUAUUGAUGAACUAUCCGGGCUUGAUCCAGAACUCUACAGGAACCUCAUGUAUAUAAAGAAUUAUGAUGGUGAUUUGAAGGAACUAUGUCUGGAUUUCACAGUCACUGAAGAGUUUUGUGGAAAAAUGAGCAUAAUUGAGCUCAAACCCGGUGGGAAGGAUAUUUCAGUCAUGAAUGAGAAUAAAAUGCAAUAUAUUCAUGCAAUGGCUGACUACAAACUCAACCGGCAGAUUGUGCCCUUUUCAAAUGCAUUUUACAGAGGAUUGACUGACCUUAUAUCUCCUGCUUGGCUGAAACUAUUUAAUGCCCAUGAAUUUAAUCAGUUACUCUCGGGGGGAAACCAUGAUAUCGAUGUUGAUGACCUGAGGAGGAAUACAAAAUACACUGGUGGUUACAGUGAUAGCAGUCGAACAAUCAAAAUCUUCUGGGAGGUCAUGAAAGGGUUUGAACCGAAUGAGCGUUGCUUGCUCCUCAAAUUUGUUACUAGUUGUUCACGGGCACCACUCCUUGGUUUCAAAUACUUGCAGCCAACCUUCAUCAUCCAUAAAGUCUCUUGUGACACUUCUCUUUGGGCUGCAAUUGGAGGACAAGAUGUAGAAAGGCUUCCAUCUGCUUCCACGUGCUACAAUACUCUUAAGGUGGAGUGUCAGUUCUUCUGUUUCCAAUGUUGUCUACUUGUGAAGAUUCCUGUAUCUUUUUUGUUCAGUCUUUCUUUGUUGAUUGCUUCAGCUUCCAACGUAUAAACGAGCAAGCACUAUGAGGGAAAAACUAUUGUAUGCGAUUACUUCAAAUGCAGGGUUUGAACUCUCGUAGAAUGGCCAGGCUCGUACCAUUGUCAAUUGGGUUGGUGAUGAUGUCCAGGAAAGGCUGGUAGACAUUAAAGGCGACGAUCUUGAGGCCUGAGUGUC